rnacentral:rRNA from 1 species
GACGAACGCUGGCGGCGUGCCUAAUACAUGCAAGUCGAACGCAGUGGGGACGGGUGAGUAACACGUGGGUAACCUCCCAUCAGAGGGGAUAACACUUGGAAACAGGUGCUAAACCGAUACUGAUGGAUGGACCCGCGGUGCAUUAGCUAGUUGGUGAGGUAACGGCUAACAAAGGCCACGAUGCAUAGCCUCACUGAGAGGGUACUCAGCCACAAUGGGACUGAGACACGGCCCAGACUCCUACGGGAGGCAGCAGUGGGGAAUCUUCCGCAAUGGGCGCAAGCCGGACGGAGCAACGCCGCGGGAGUGAAGAAGGUCUUCGGAUCGUAAAGCUCUGUUGUAAGAGAAGCGGUAUCUUACCAGAAAGCCACGGCUAACUACGUGCCAGAAGCCGCGGUAAUUC